rnacentral:pre_miRNA from 1 species
CGCAGGCACCCGUCAUCCUGCGCGAGGCACGAGACGCAGGAUCCUGCGACUCCUCCGUCGCGCAGGAUGACGGGUGUUUCGA